rnacentral:rRNA from 1 species
UACGUAGGGGGCAAGCGUUGUCCCGGAUUUAUUGGGCGUAAAGAGCGUGUAGGCGGCUAGGUAGGUCCGUUGUGAAAACUCGAGGCUCAACCUCGAGACGUCGGUUGAAACCAUCUGGCUAGAGUCCGGAAGAGGAGAGUGGAAUUCCUGGUGUAGCGGUGAAAUGCGCAGAUAUCAGGAAGAACACCCGUGGCUAAGGCGGCUCUCUAGUACGGUACUGACGCUGAGACGCGAAAGCGUGGGGAGCGAACAGG